GACGAACGCUGGCGGCGUGCCUAACACAUGCAAGUAGGACGCAGUUGCGAACGGGUGCGUAACGCGUAGGUAACUACCUAUUAGAGGGGGAUAACUAUUGGAAACGAUAGCUAAUACCGCAUACUAGUAGAUGGACCUGCGUUGUAUUAGCUAGUAGGUAGGGGAAUGGCCUACCUAGGCAACGAUACAUAGCCGGCCUGGGGGGGUUGUCAGCCACAAUGGGACUGGGACACGGGCCAGGCUCCUACGGGGGGCAGCAAGUGGGGAUCUUCGGAAAUGGGGGGAACCCUGACCGAGCAACGCCGCGUGGGUGAAGGAAGUUUUCGGAUCGUAAAGCUCUGUUGUGAAGGAAGCGGUACUUAACCAGAAAGGGACGGCUAACUACGUGCCAGCAGCCGCGGUAAUUC
rnacentral:rRNA from 1 species